GGAUUUUCUUGUCCUCAACCAGCCAAAGCCAGCCCUCCACUGCUUAAGAUCUUUCUCUCACUGUUGGCGUGUGUUGCGGUACAUGUGAGCGUAGUAACGGGAAGUAGUAAUUAAUUUGACAGGCUCAAACAGCACCAAAAGCGAUGCUCAAAAUCACCCAGCCUCGUGUGGAACGAAUCGACCCUGCUGAGGAGAAGCAGCGGGCUCGGUCUGCCACUAUUAGCACAUUAUUCAAGUUUGGUCUUCUAGUUACACUGAUACGAGCAACGCCCCAUGUUAUCAACCAGUUCCGGAGCUAGGAAGACUACUAUCGCAGUGGCUGGUUUCGACGGAUGGCGCGAAGUAAGAAUUCACGGAUACCUCAGAAUUUCCCAUGGCCUAAUAGUGAUUCAGAAACUGCGAUUUCAAGUGGAAGCGCUUCGCAAGAUUGCCAGGCGUAGUUCACCACCGACAGAAAUAAACGCGAUAAAAAAAAAAA